GGAUGAACGCUGGCGGCGUGCCUAACACAUGCAAGUCGAACGAAGCUUGACGGAUGAUUUCUUCGGAAUGAAACCAGAUAUGACUUAGUGGCGGACGGGUGAGUAACACGUGAGCAACCUGCCUUUCAGAGGGGGAUAACGGCUGGAAACGGUCGCUAAUACCGCAUGAUGUGUUCGGAUGGCAUCAUCUGAACAUCAAAGAUUUAUCGCUGAAAGAUGGGCUCGCGUCUGAUUAGAUAGUUGGUGGGGUAACGGCCUACCAAGUCUACGAUCAGUAGCCGGACUGAGAGGUUGAACGGCCACAUUGGGACUGAGAUACGGCCCAGACUCCUACGGGAGGCAGCAGUGGGGAAUAUUGCACAAUGGGGGAAACCCUGAUGCAGCAACGCCGCGUGAAGGAUGACGGUUUUCGGAUUGUAAACUUCUUUUCUUAGUGACGAAGACAGUGACGGUAGCUAAGGAAUAAGCAUCGGCUAACUACGUGCCAGCAGCCGCGGUAAUACGUAGGAUGCAAGCGUUAUCCGGAUUUACUGGGUGUAAAGGGAGCGCAGGCGGGACUGCAAGUUGGAUGUGAAAUACCGUGGCUUAACCACGGAACUGCAUCCAAAACUGUAGUUCUUGAGUGAAGUAGAGGCAAGCGGAAUUCCGAGUGUAGCGGUGAAAUGCGUAGAUAUUCGGAGGAACACCAGUGGCGAAGGCGGCUUGCUGGGCUUUAACUGACGCUGAGGCUCGAAAGUGUGGGGAGCAAACAGGAUUAGAUACCCUGGUAGUCCACACUGUAAACGAUGAUAGCUAGGUGUGGGGGGUCUGACCCCUUCCGUGCCGGAGUUAACGCAAUAAGCUAUCCACCUGGGGAG
rnacentral:rRNA from 1 species